rnacentral:rRNA from 1 species
GUCCACGCCCUAAACGAUGCAGGCUCGGUGUGGGACGUUCAAUCAUGUCCCGUGCCUUAGCUUACGCGGUAAGCCUGCCGCCUGAGAAGUACGGCCGCAAGGCUAAAACUCAAAGGAAUAGACGGGGACCCCACACAAGCGGUGGAGCAUGGGGUUUAAUUCGAUGAUAAGCGAAGCACCUCACCCAGGCUUGACAUGGUUGGAAUCCGGCAGAAACGUCGGAGUGCCGCAAGGAACCAACACACAGGCGCUGCACGGUCGUCGU